rnacentral:misc_RNA from 1 species
UUCCAUCUCAUGUCAUGUUUUUUUCUAUUUUCAUCCUUUGGACUUAUUUGUGGAGGUAUAUUGUGUUAAUUUUGUGUUAAUACUUGAGUUCUUGAACUAAUUUAGCAAGUUCGUUGAGAGUUAUGCUAUGCCUAUUGUAGAUCUCUAACUCAUUUGGUUCAUGAUUGUAGUAAAGGUUUGAAGGACAAUUGUUUUAUUUCUAUAUGCAUGUCUAAUUGUCCUCUCCUCUGAUUUUCUGGCCUUGGGUCCUCUCUUCAAUUAACUUUUUUAUUAUCCUACUCUAUAAAUAUCGGUGACCAAGUCUACGUACAACAUCCAUCUUUUAGAAAGAAACAUUUUUCUUGAACUAACAAGUACUUAUAACUUCUUCAUUAGAUGCUCCAAAAUCAAGUUUGGAUUACCAUUCCUAAAGACCAUCAUGGCCAGAAGCAAGCCAUUGAAGAGGAUUUUGACUAUGAGCACAGUGGGUUCGAGCCACUGUUCUAGGAGCAAAUGGCGAAUUAGUUUCUAUUGCAUCUUUUGUCAGUUCUCUAUUUGUCCUCACUGUCGAUUUCAAUUUCUCUGCUAUUUCUUUGAACUUCCAUAUAAUUAUUUCAAGAGUUUUAGUUUCCUCUUGUGCAUUAAUUGACUAAUGCUGCUUGUUGUGCUGGUUAGGAAAAUUGUGGAUGUAUUUAGACGAAAAAGAUUAAAUUUGUUUCAGAUAUUGUAAUUCUUGGGCCCUCUCAAAGAUGUUGUGACAAGCAUAUGUCCUACAAUUUCUUGUCAACCUCCUCUCAAUAUAUCUCCCUAUUUUCUUUUUAAGUGUUAUAAUCAAGAUAAUAAAAGGAUAGAACAAUAUGUUACUGACAAAAGUUCA